rnacentral:rRNA from 1 species
UACAGAGGUCUCGAGCGUUGUUCGGAUUCAUUGGGCGUAAAGGGUGCGUAGGCGGCGUGGUAAGUCUGAUGUGAAAUCCUGGGGCUCAACCCCAGAACUGCAUUGGAUACUGCCAUGCUAGAGUACUGGAGAGGAGACUGGAAUUUACGGUGUAGCAGUGAAAUGCGUAGAGAUCGUAAGGAAGACCAGUGGCGAAGGCGAGUUUCUGGACAGUAACUGACGCUGAGGCACGAAGGCCAGGGGAGCAAACGGG